GACGAACGCUGGCGGCGUGCCUAAUACAUGCAAGUCGAACGCAGUGGGGACGGGUGAGUAACACGUGGGUAACCUCCCAUCAGAGGGGAUAACACUUGGAAACAGGUGCUAAACCCAUACUGGUGGAUGGACCCGCGGUGCAUUAGCUAGUUGGUGGGGUAACGGCUUACCAAGGCCACGAUGCAUAGCCGGCCUGAGAGGAUGAUCGGCCAAACUGGAACUGAGACACGGCCCAGACUCCUACGGGAGGCAGCAGUAGGGAAUUUUGGGCAAUGGACGAAAGUCUGACCGAGCAACGCCGCGUGAGUGAAGAAGGUUUUCGGAUCGUAAAACUCUGUUGUUGGAGAAGCGGUAUCUAACCAGAAAGCCACGGCUAACUACGUGCCAGCAGCCGCGGUAAUAC
rnacentral:rRNA from 1 species